GAUGAAGAACGCAGCAAAAUGCGAUAAGUAAUGUGAAUUGCAGAAUUCAGUGAAUCAUCGAAUCUUUGAACGCACAUUGCGCCCGCCAGUAUUCUGGCGGGCAUGCCUGUUCGAGCGUCAUUUCAACCCUCAAGCCCUCGGGUUUGGUGUUGGGGAUCGGCGAGCCUUUCUGGCGAGCCGGCCCCGAAAUCUAGUGGCGGUCUCGCUGCAGCCUCCAUUGCGUAGUAGUAAAACCCUCGCAACUGGAACGCGGCGCGGCCAAGCCGUUAAACCCCCAACUUCUGAAUGUUGACCUCGGAUCAGGUAGGAAUACCCGCUGAACUUAAGCAUAUCAAUAAGCGGAGGA
rnacentral:misc_RNA from 1 species